ensembl:misc_RNA 7SK 7SK RNA
GGAUGUGAGGGCGAUCUGGCUAUGACAUCUGUCACCCCAUUGAUUGCCAACAGAUCUGGUUGGCUAGGUGGGUGUCUCCUUCCUCCCUCACUAUCCCAUGUGAGUCUCUCAGGAAGCUGUGAGCUCCUCAAACAGAGGAGGACCAGUCUUGGAGCAAGAAUACAUAAGUAGCUGCGUUCCCCUGAUAGAACCUCCAAACAAGCUCCAUCUCACUCCUGUCAGAACAGCUGUCCCAAAGAAGAUGAAUAAUAAGGGAGAGAAAUGCUGGUAAGGAUGGAAGGAGGAAUCAUUAUACAAUGCUGAUUAUGGAAAUAUGA